rnacentral:rRNA from 1 species
CCUACGGGGGGCUGCAGUGGGGAAUAUUGGACAAUGGGGGCAACCCCGAUCCAGCCAUGCCGCGUGUGUGAAGAAGGCCCUCGGGUUGUAAAGCACUUUCAGUGAGGAAGAACGCCUGGUGGUUAAUACCCAUCAGGAAAGACAUCACUCACAGAAGAAGCACCGGCUAACUCCGUGCCAGCAGCCGCGGUAAUACGGAGGGUGCGAGCGUUAAUCGGAAUUACUGGGCGUAAAGCGCGCGUAGGUGGCUUGAUAAGCCGGUUGUGAAAGCCCCGGGCUCAACCUGGGAACGGCAUCCGGAACUGUCAAGCUAGAGUGCAGGAGAGGAAGGUAGAAUUCCCGGUGUAGCGGUGAAAUGCGUAGAGAUCGGGAGGAAUACCAGUGGCGAAGGCGGCCUUCUGGACUGACACUGACACUGAGGUGCGAAAGCGUGGGUAGCAAACAGGAUUAGAUACCCUGGUAGUC